rnacentral:rRNA from 1 species
UACGUAGGGGGCAAGCGUUGUCCGGAAUUAUUGGGCGUAAAGAGCGCGUAGGCGGUCCGGUAAGUCGGUUGUGAAAGUCGGGGGGCUCAACCCUCGGAUGCCGAUCGAUACUGUCGGGCUAGAGUCCGGAAGAGGCGAGUGGAAUUCCUGGUGUAGCGGUGAAAUGCGCAGAUAUCAGGAGGAACACCUAUUGCGAAGGCAGCUCGCUGGGACGUAACUGACGCUGAGACGCGAAAGCGUGGGGAGCAAACAGG